UACGAGGGGGCUAGCGUUGUCGGAAUCAUUGGGCGUAAAGAGCGUGUAGGCGGCCCGGUAAGUCCGCUGUAAAAGUCAAAGGCUCAACCUUUGAAUGUCAGUGGAUACUGCCGGGCUAGAGUCCGGAAGAGGCGAGUGGAACUCCUGGUGUAGCGGUGGAAUGCGCAGAUAUCAGGAAGAACACCAACGGCGAAGGCAGCUCGCUGGGACGGUACUGACGCUGAGACGCGAAAGCGUGGGGAGCGAACAGG
rnacentral:rRNA from 1 species